rnacentral:rRNA from 1 species
AUUGAACGCUGGCGGCAUGCCUUACACAUGCAAGUCGAACGGCAGCACGGGGCAACCUGGUGGCGAGUGGCGAACGGGUGAGUAAUGCAUCGGAACGUACCUUUCAGUGGGGGAUAACGUAGCGAAAGUUACGCUAAUACCGCAUAUUCUGUGAGCAGGAAAGCAGGGGAUCGCAAGACCUUGCGCUGAUUGAGCGGCCGAGGUCAGAUUAGCUAGUUGGUGAGGCAAAGGCUCACCAAGGGGAAGAUCUGUAGCGGGUCUGAGAGGAUGAUCCGCCACACUGGAACUGAGACACGGUCCAGACUCCUACGGGAGGCAGCAGUGGGGAAUUUUGGACAAUGGGGGCAACCCUGAUCCAGCCAUGCCGCGUGAGUGAAGAAGGCCUUCGGGUUGUAAAGCUCUUUCGGCCGGGAAGAAAUCGCACGGGCUAAUACCCUGUGUGGAUGACGGUACCGGAAUAAGAAGCACCGGCCAACUACGUGCCAGCCGCCGCCGUAAAAC